CUCAGAUUGAACGCUGGCGGCAGGCCUAACACAUGCAAGUCGAACGGUAGCACAGAGGAGCUUGCUCCUCGGGUGACGAGUGGCGGACGGGUGAGUAAUGUCUGGGAAACUGCCCGAUGGAGGGGGAUAACUACUGGAAACGGUAGCUAAUACCGCAUAAUGUCGCAAGACCAAAGAGGGGGACCUUCGGGCCUCUUGCCAUCGGAUGUGCCCAGAUGGGAUUAGCUUGUUGGUGAGGUAAUGGCUCACCAAGGCGACGAUCCCUAGCUGGUCUGAGAGGAUGACCAGCCACACUGGAACUGAGACACGGUCCAGACUCCUACGGGAGGCAGCAGUGGGGAAUAUUGCACAAUGGGCGCAAGCCUGAUGCAGCCAUGCCGCGUGUGUGAAGAAGGCCUUCGGGUUGUAAAGCACUUUCAGCGGGGAGGAAGGCAGUACGGUUAAUAACCGUGUUGAUUGACGUUACCCGCAGAAGAAGCACCGGCUAACUCCGUGCCAGCAG
rnacentral:rRNA from 1 species